GACAGAGGGUGCAAACGUUGUUCGGAGUUACUGGGCGUAAAGCGUGUGUAGGCGGCUUCGCAAGUUGGAUGUGAAAUCCCACGGCUCAACCGUGGACGUGCAUCCAAAACUGCGUCGCUAGAGUCUCGGAGAGGAAGGUGGAAUGCUUGGUGUAGAGGUGAAAUUCGUAGAUAUCAAGCAGAACACCUGCGGCGAAGGCGGCCUUCUGGACGAUGACUG
rnacentral:rRNA from 1 species